CGAGAACUCUGGGAAGGAAUGUGAAGCCAGAUACCAGUCCGUGCGCUGACACAACUUUUCUGUAGGGAGGGCUCUGCGUGCAGCCCCGCUCCGACCGCAGGCGCGCCCAAGCCUUCCCCAGCCCCAGAGCCACCGCCGGCCUCUGGGCUCUUCCGCACGGCCAUAGGGGCGAUGGGGCUGGGUCUUCCCCAGCCCCAGAGCCACCGCCGGCCUCUGGGCUCCCGUUUGCCGGGCCAAGCCAAGUCUUUCCACUUCUCCCUUCCCCCAUCGGCAUGCACACAGGAAAGCGCAACAGCUGCUUUGGGCACCCACUUUCCUAUUCAGGAGAAAAAUUCCCAGACGAAAACUAUCCCCUAACCCAUUUCUGCAUUAAGGCAAAGGCUCUUCGCUUUCCUUCCUUUCGCACAGGGGUGACGGGCUGGCCGGGGGGCAGACAGGCGCUGGGCUCGGGGCGGAGGCGCUGCACGCCGAGGCGAGGCACGCACAACGGCUGGGAAUGGCGCCCGGCUCGGCCGGGGCUGGCUGCCCAGCUCUCACUCCAGAGUGACAAACGAGGAGUCAGGAGGGUGCUGGAGUGGGUCACACCUGGUCUGGAAAAAUCCCGAAAAAUGAUACGAAGCCUAGCACAGUUUCAAGGCAAUGAGGAAUGCUACAAAGCUGGGAUGCAAUCUUGGACCAUCCAAAGCCCUUUCAACCAUCUCUAUAGUUAACAUCUUGGUGAAUUAUGACUAAGCUCCAAAUAAAAAAUACUAUUUUAA
rnacentral:lncRNA from 12 species